CACGCCUACAUUAGUUCUUAGACACGGCCCAAACUCCUACGGGGGGCAGCAGUAGGGAAUCUUCCACAAUGGACGCAAGUCUGAUGGAGCAACGCCGCGUGAGUGAAGAAGGCUUUCGGGUCGUAAAACUCUGUUGUUGGAGAAGAAUGGUCGGCAGAGUAACUGUUGUCGGCGUGACGGUAUCCAACCAGAAAGCCACGGCUAACUACGUGCCAGCAGCCGCGGUAAUACGUAGGUGGCAAGCGUUAUCCGGAUUUAUUGGGCGUAAAGCGAGCGCAGGCGGUUUUUUAAGUCUGAUGUGAAAGCCCUCGGCUUAACCGAGGAAGCGCAUCGGAAACUGGGAAACUUGAGUGCAGAAGAGGACAGUGGAACUCCAUGUGUAGCGGUGAAAUGCGUAGAUAUAUGGAAGAACACCAGUGGCGAAGGCGGCUGUCUGGUCUGUAACUGACGCUGAGGCUCGAAAGCAUGGGUAGCGAACAGGAUUAGAUACCCUGGUAGUCCUUGCCGUACACUAUGGGCGCUACCAGUA
rnacentral:rRNA from 1 species